UAACACCGGCGGCCCGAGUGGUGGCCACUAUUAUUGGGUCUAAAGGGUCCGUAGCCGGUUUGGUCAGUCUUCCGGGAAAUCUGACGGCUUAACCGUUAGGCUUUCGGGGGAUACUACCAGGCUUGGGACCGGGAGAGGUAAGAGGUACUACGGGGGUAGGAGUGAAAUCUUGUAAUCCCUGUGGGACCACCAGUGGCGAAGGCGUCUUACCAGAACGGGUCCGACGGUGAGGGACGAAAGCUGGGGGCACGAACCGG
rnacentral:rRNA from 1 species